CCUACGGGUGGCAGCAGUGGGGAAUAUUGGGCAAUGGGCGCAAGCCUGACCCAGCAACGCCGCGUGAAGGAAGAAGGCUUUCGGGUUGUAAACUUCUUUUAUCAGGGACGAAGCAAGUGACGGUACCGGAUGAAUAAGCCACGGCUAACUACGUGCCAGCAACCGCGGUAAUACGUAGGGGGCAAGCGUUAUCCGGAUUUACUGGGUGUAAAGGGUGAUUAGGCGGGAGUGCAAGUCAGAUGGGAAAACUAUGGGGUCAAACCAUAGCCUGCAUUUGAAACUGUACUUCUUGAGUGCUGGAGAGGCAAUCGGAAUUCCGGGUGUAGCGGUGAAAUGCGUAGAUAUACGGAGGAACACCAGGGGCGAAGGCGGAUUGCUGGACAGUAACUGACGCUGAGGCGCGAAAGCGUGGGGAGCAAACAGGAUUAGAUACCCUUGUAGUC
rnacentral:rRNA from 1 species